UUUUUGCUACAUACAUUCCUUGUUUCAUAAAAUUAUUUACUUUUGUCUCCCUUCAAAAAUAAAAAAACGUACUUUUAAAAAUGUUGUCAGUUUCCUCUAAGUGAUAGUCUAAAACUUUCGGUAAACAUCACGUUUUCAAAAACGAAUAAAGAACUGUGGUUAAGGUGUUGAAUUGCCAUAGGUCACCUUAAAACUACAUAGCCACAGAGCUAUGCCUGUUUUUUCCUUCCUGGGAAUCAUUCCCAGUGUGAUAAGACGAAUUAUUAUUUUGGAUCUGGAUUCCCAAACAUCUACAGUUUUCAGAGGCAGUUUCUAAGACUAGUCCAGAUAACUCUAACACCUAAGGGGACCAGGUGGGACUGGUUUGAUCAAUCUCCAGGGAAGGAUGGAACAGGUUCAGCAACUCAUUUGCAAAUAGCCACUAAGGCUGCUGGGAAGCUGCCAUUUUGGAGUCCUGGGAAAGGUUAAGCGAGAAUAAGAACCAGGUGGAGGAAUCAUUUGAAACCAGUGAGAGGGCCAUGGUACACACAGAGCCAGGAUGAGCUCAGGUCCCUGGACAGAACUAUAAGUACAGUAUAGGUUUGUUCCCAUGAAAUGGGAACGUUCACUGUCCAAGACUGAAAAGAACUGUAACUUCCGAGGGGCAUUUUAGCAGUCACCAGCUGAGGGGAGUAAGAGGAAAAGAGCUCUGUCUUUGCCUUGUUCUCAAAGCCCUGGGAAGCGGUGUGAACCAAGGAAAGGUAAACAGAAGCAGCAAAGAACCUGAGCAGUCAGCUUUGAUGUGACUAGGAAGGGAUGUGCCUAAGAAAUGUGAGAGAAAGCGUGUAUGUUUGUGUGUAGCCACGCAGGCACGCAUGCGCACGUGCGUAUGUGCUUGCGUGCCUGCGUGUGGUGCAUGCGUGCGUGCGUGCGUGAAAGAGAGGUUGAGAGAGACAGGGAGGGAUGGGUCUUCGUUACCUCAGCCUACAGCCCACCAUGAAAUUUCUCAGGAAGAUCUUGUUUCAGGACCUGGAGCCUCCCAGUCUUUCCAGAAAGACCUGAAGAUUGAAGACCUCUGGGUUGUUUCUAGGCAAGAGGAAGAUUCUUUUUAGCUGGGCUUCUUCAGGAAGUUCAAGAUAUUGAUAGAUUUUCUCUGUGGGUCAUUGACUUUGCCUUAGGAGGAGUUGCCUCACCCCACCUUCAGGGGAUCUUCAGGAAGGGCGUGGGCUCUGGGUAACAGCAGAGACAGUGGCUCAGCGCCUAGUGAGCUAGGACUGGUCUGUGAGUAGGCGCAUCCUCCCAGGGCAUCUGCUGAAACUCUGAUGGCAGUGGUAACUCCCCAGGUCCUGCUGACAUCCCUCUAUAAAGAGAUGAUUUCCCCUUGUCAAAUUAUCAACUUCCUCAAGGAGCAGCAGAUACAAGAAAGGUUUGUUUUAACACAGACUACAUGGGAUACACACAGGAGCAUGUGGCUGCCAAUGAAUAUGGGGCUUCUGGCCUGUCAGAUAAAACAGGCCUGGCCAUUUCAGCAACACAAAGGAUCGGACUGUGACAGCAGGCAGCUGCAUGGACACAUCUCUAGUGCCUUCUGCUGAGUGAAAGAGGCCACACACAAACGAAUGAGAAAUGGAGGUGUCUCUGAGAGGAUAAGUGGCUUGUCUGAGAUUUCUCCGUUGGAAGCUGACUCUAGACCUGAGAUUAAUGAACUAUUCUUGGGAACACAGGCCUUGUGAAUUCUACUCUGUUGCCAUGUCUUUGAGCUCAGUAGGAUCUUACUCAACAUACCAAGAAGAAACAGUUAGACAGCUGCUUUUACACCCCUUUCCGACCUCUUGGAUGGAGGCCACCUGCCUUUCAGCAUCCUCCCCUGCACACCCCUAAGCCCAGUUGCCUGCCAGAAUUUCAGCCUUUAGGAAGUGACUUGCAGGAGAAUUCUACAAGUUAAGAAUUCUCCUACAAGGUUGUAUUGUUAUUUGGAAAGUGAAGUGAUGAGCAGACUAAUUGUCAUGACGGAUUUGGAAAUUGGCAUCAAGGUUUUGUUGAAGAGAAUGUGGAGUCAACAUAAUGCUUGUCAAAAUUGCCUUUCUCUAAUAACAAGCAAUAUGUGCUUCUGGGUUUCUGAGAACACUGCAAAUUAUUUCCUUCUUUUUGAGGUACAAGUUAAAAUGUUCAUCUUGGUUUGCUGCAUGUUAUUAAAAAGUGUGUUAUCUGGGUGAUGAGUCUGUAAGUAAUGAAGGAUCAUUUGAACCAUAAGAAAAGCCACAGAAAUGGAGACAAACUGGUAUCAGUGGGACACUAAUGAGGUAGAAAUAAGUAUAUCUGAGGUCAGGAAAGCCAAAGGCAUACUUUUCCAGUAGCUUUCCUGUGCUCUCCGGUACCUGGUCAUGGUACUGAACUUUGCAUUUCUAUAAUAACUAUCAGCUUUCAAGAUUCUUGAGACUUCCUCAAGGAGAGGAAGGGGUGAAUAGAAAGGAGAAGGGAGGGUCAAGCAAAACAUCCAUGAUGAUGGCUUAGAAAAAGGAAAUAUAAAAUAUAUUCUUUUUGUACCCUAAAACAGAGUAAAGCAACAGAAUAGAGUAAAGCAUGGGUCUUAAAUCAUUCAUUCAUUCAUUGAACACUUGAACUAUGAAUUAGAUUCCUUUCUAGGCAUUGGAGAUGCAAUUAAUAAAGCAGAACAAGACCCUGCCCUCAAGAUCUCAUUGUCUACAACUACAUAUUUAGAAUUGAUUUGUUUUUAGAAUUGUCCUAAAAUUAGACCUGUAUUUGUCUUCAAUUAAGUGGAUUUUUUUUUUAAUGAGAAUUUAGCUUUUCUCAAAAUCUGUACAGAGACAGAAGUACUUAUCAAAUGCUCUGGGAAAACCAAGAAGGGAAAAAUUGCCUAGAUAGAUGGAACAAAUAGAACAUUCUGCACAGAGACACAGAGGACUGGUAUGUCUGUGAGAAAUGCUAAGCAGGUCCUUUUGGCUGAUAAACAGUGGGUGGAAAGGUAAGAGUUGUAAACUGUAUAUUAAACAAACAGACUCUCUGUUAGUGGAAAGGACAGAAACGAUGACUUUAGCCUGCUGUAGGAGGAAAAUUUUCUGUUGAAAAGCACAUCUCAAGACAUUACUAAAAUUUACUUUCAAAUUCACAUUUAUUCACCCGCUUUUGGUUUUUGGUGGCUGCAAGCUGGCUGUGAAACAGCUUUUGGCAGGAGUAAAUGAGUUAGGAUUGUAGAAAUCCUUCACUAUAAUAAAGCAAAGGA
ensembl:lncRNA